rnacentral:lncRNA from 1 species
AAGACAAAAGAGACCUGGCAAAGGAGAUUCGAGUCUCCAAAUCCUCACGACAGGCAGGCACCAGAACCAACGGCACUUUAACACAGAACUGGAAAUGCAGCUCUCUUUGGUGAUGGGGAACCCUAGCUCAGGGUUCCGUAUCUCUUGUGCACUUUUUUCCCCCCACGAACACACUCUAGCCAAACGUGCCUCCCAGGAGAUGGAGUGCACGCUCAGGUUCUAGAGAGCCCUCUGGCCUUGCACCACAAGCUGCGGGCGUGGGUCAAGGCUGCGUGCUGCCGCGGCCCUUCUCAUCCCUGCUCAAGCAUAGCCCGCUCUGGCCUCAGUGGUCCCCACCGCCUCAGCCUGCGUGACCGGGAUCCCAUUUCAUCAAAGGUCCAGGACAGACACGCAGGGUUUGAAGGAAAAGUUCAAUCAGCCCACCUGCACCUCUGCCUAAUGCAGAUGUGCUGUGUGCCGCACACCAGCGGCUGUGAGGAAGCCGGUGUAGUUGAGUCCGACUCCAGCGUCCCCUGCAUUUAGGAGUUUGCCGUAAAGCCAACCCAGGAACACUGGGGCAUUUCACUGCAGCCGCUCAGCGGAGGUGGCAACUCCCCUCCAGCUCUUCACCCAGUGUGACCAUGACAACCAUCUGGAAACAGGCGUCCCAGCCUUCCUCGGUUCAAAAAUCCGAGCCUGCAAAGGCAGGGUAAAUACAGUUUUUGCCUUUUCCCUUCUAUCCGUAACUUACACCACUCCAAAGAUUCUAAAACCAUCUCUCCUGCCAUUAACUCCACUUAAAUGCCCUCAACACUUUGGCUGCUAGGUGUCUUGGUUUGGAAUGCAGAGUCUGAGGUACUUGAGGUUGUUUUAAUUCCGUAAAUAGGAAAAGGGAAGUGAGGCAAAUACUGAAGCUUGCAACCACAAUCUCUCAUCGGUUUGCUGAGGAAAUUUUCUAAGAUGAAAAUAGAAAGGCACAUGUCGCCCUGUGAAGGACGUGGCCCAGCCGCCUUCUGUCUGUCGCUGUCUCCCGCUACGACCUCUCACACAGGUAGGAAGCCCCUGCAGACAGCAGGGCCAGAGAAAGGACAGCUCGGACGGCCACCACACUUGAAUUCUGUGCUUUCCUGGGCAUAGGAGUAGCUACAAACUUUCCUUAAAAAAAAAAAAAAAA